UAGGGAAUCUUCGGCAAUGGGGGGAACCCUGACCGAGCAACGCCGCGUGAGUGAAGAAGGUUUUCGGAUCGUAAAGCUCUGUUGUUAAGGAAGAACGAGUGUGAGAAUGGAAAGUUCAUACUGUGACGGUACUUAACCAGAAAGGGACGGCUAACUACGUGCCAGCAGCCGCGGUAAUACGUAGGUCCCGAGCGUUGUCCGGAUUUAUUGGGCGUAAAGCGAUCGCAGGCGGUUAGAAAAGUCUGAAGUGAAAGGCAGUGGCUCAACCAGUGUAUGCUUUGGAAACUGUUUAACUUGAGUGCAGAAGGGGAGAGUGGAAUUCCAUGUGUAGCGGUGAAAUGCGUAGAUAUAUGGAGGAACACCGGUGGCGAAAGCGGCUCUCUGGUCUGUAACUGACGCUGAGGCUCGAAAGCGUGGGGAGCGAACAGG
rnacentral:rRNA from 1 species